rnacentral:rRNA from 1 species
UACGAGGGGGGCAAGCGUUGUUCGGAGUUACUGGGCGUAAAGGGUGUGUAGGCGGUCCUCUAAGUUUGGUGUGAAAUCUCCCGGCUCAACCGGGAGGGUGCGCCGAAAACUGGGGGGCUAGAGUGCGGGAUGGGUAAGUGGAAUUCCUGGUGAUAGCGGUGAAAUGCGUAGAUAUCAGGAGGAACACCUGUGGUGUAGACGGCUUACUGGACCGCAA